rnacentral:rRNA from 1 species
AACGAACGCUGGCGGCGCGCUUAACACAUGCAAGUCGAACGAGAAGGCGUAGCAAUACGCUUGUAAAGUGGCGAACGGGUGAGGAAUACGUGGGUAACCUACCCUCGAGUGGGGAAUAACCAGCCGAAAGGUUGGCUAAUGCCGCGUACGCUUCCCGGUCUGUGGAUCGGGAAGGAAAGCCGUACAGAGUGUGCGGCGCUCAAGGAUGGGCUCACGUCCUAUCAGCUUGUUGGUGAGGUAACGGCUCACCAAGGCUUCGACGGGUAGCUGGUCUGAGAGGACGAUCAGCCACACUGGCACUGCGACACGGGCCAGACUCCUACGGGAGGCAGCAGUGAGGAAUAUUGCGUAAUGGGCGAAAGCCUGACGCAGCGACGCCGCGUGGGGGAUGAAGGUCUUCGGAUUGUAAACCCCUUUCGGGAGGGAAGAUGGGACGAGGCAAUCGUCCGGACGGUACCUCCAGAAGCAGCCACGGCUAACUUCGUGCCAGCAGCCGCGGUAA